CAUUGCAGGAGGAAUCCGUUGCAAUCCUCCGCCGAACCAGAAUAGGGCGCCGGUUUGGCCAUGGGACUGGCGUAAACAGGUGGUGAGGAAGAAGUGACGAUGUUUGCGGAAGUGAUGGCUGGAGCUGAUGGCGGAGGGUGAAUGGUGAAUGUGCGAUGCAAAGCAUCAACCAAAUCCUGGAACGGAUCGGGGUGGCUCAUGCUUGUGUUCCGCUGUUUCGGGCCGGUCUUCUGUUACAGUAUAGACAGGUCGGAGACAGGAGAUAACAAUUCAGGUAGUUUAUUGAACACAAGCAGAGAAGAUGGUGACAACAGGGGAGUAGUAGAUGCAAUGGCAGUGAAUGAUGAAUGAUAGAUAAGUGAUACUGUCCUUUGUGGUUACAGGGUGACGUUGGAGAAAUGGCGGUAGCAAACUGGAGACGAGGAAGGCAGAUGACACUCACACACGGACUGGAAAACACUGGAGGUAACUUGGAGACACAGGAUACAGGUAAGUAACGACAGGAGUCACUGAAUUAAGCAUUGAGGUAAGUUCCUUGAUGCGAACGAGACCGGACAAUGUGAGUGAGUGUGUGAGUGUCUUUUAUCCUGGUGCUGAUUGGCGUAAUGAUGAGGUGCAGGUGUGUGUGAUCAGUACUCAGGGGAAGGUGUGCGCUGUGAUUGGUGGGUGUUGGAGCCUGGUGUGUCUGUGACAGCAACUAGCACAGUCUUCAAAACAUUUUCUCUUUUAAGUUACUCAAGAGAAGAAGAAAGUAAGCCAAAGUGGUUUGGAAUGACAUGAAGGUGAGUAUAUGACAGAAUUUCCUUUCUAGAAAUAUUCCUUUAAGCUUCUCGAAAGACAUGGACUUUCUACCAUUAUAUUUUCUAUGUAAGAGAUCUGAUUAAUUUUAAAACAUUAGUUUUUCAUUCAGGAUCUCAAUUUUCUGUUCCAAGUCUUCUAUGAGUCAGUGUUCAAUACACUGAGCAUGUUCAGUGGGGUCUGUGAUGCUGUUGCUAUAGGACUGUGGGGCUCAGAACCACUGUACAGGGGGAGGAGGGAAGGUAUGAGGAACAGAUGAGCUGUGAGAAGUGCAGAGCAGAAAGAAGUGUGUCUAAAGUGGAACUGCAAGAGGGACGUUACCCAUUUCCUAUCUUUUCAUGUUUUUAUUUUUCUUUCCUUAAUCUCUGCUGAGUGGAUGUAGAGCAUUAGGUUGUGAUCAUGCGGUGUGUUUGCUCCAGUUACUGUACAGACAAAAUAAGAGUGACUAUGUGCUGGCUCUCGGAUUGAUGGAGCUUUACGGCUGGGUGAGUUGAUGCAGUUGCCAGUGCUAACAGCCCGACCACAAGGUCUUAAUUUACUGUUAACGACACAGAAUUUUAGGGCUGGAAUUUGAAGAAAGAGGUAAAAUAAUUUAACUUAACUAAUAUACUAAAAUGACAAAUAAAUUGUUCAGUAUCUUUUAAAUAACAGUGUUUGUUUUACUAAGCUAUAGUUUGUGGACAAAAUUAUCACCAGAAGUUAGCAAAAUAUGACAUUUUUCUUUUUUAAACAUUCUGACAUCCUCAUUUAAAAAAUAUAUUCAUGAAUAAAGUUAAAUAAUGCUGUUUUUUAAAAUCUCAAUAGGUUUUUUUUAAGGGUUAGUCAGUAUGAUUCAUAAUGAGAAAUGUAUAUUCUAUGUCUUCAUUUAGAUAGUUUUAAGUAAAUGUGUGUAUGUGUUCAGAUUUAACAUAAUUGUGGGGUCUAGCCAAUGUUCCCGUGAGGAAACCAGAUAAACAUAAUAAAUAAUGCUUUAAUUACAUCUCAAAAUUUCUGUGAUCAUAAGAUUUGGAGUUAGGGGAUAGAAAAUAAAAUGAGCAUAAAAACAACUGAACUCAAUAGAUUGUCCUUACAAAGACACAAAAAACAAACAUGCUUGUGUUUUUGCAUUUGUGUUUCUGACUGCUCUGGGAUAUUUUAUAAUAAUGAAGUUACCAUAAUUACAAGUAGUCUCAUUUCAAUACUUCUAUGGUUAAUGGGAAGCACCCAUCAAAUGUGUGUGAUUUAUUGGUUUAUGCUGAAAAGUGGAUUUAAGCUUGGUAAAGCUAAUCCACUGAAUGCUUAUUUUAUCAUUUAGAUUUUUGCUUGAAAGCACUGAAAAUGCAGACAUCUGAGGUUACAAGAGAUUCCUCUGAGCUUUGCAUUCACUCUGUUUGUCACUUAACCAGCCUGGGAUGCAAAGACUGAUGCUUUAAAGUGCUGGUGCUUAGAAAAUGGAUGUCUCCCCAAAGUCAGGAGAAACUCUGAUUGUGUGCCACAUCCAUGGCCACUCUGUUGGGUGGCACCUAUGUAACCCAUUACAGACAUCUAGGCAGCCACACUCUCAGAAUUUAACCCACAGUAUAUCCCUACCUGAGAGAGGAGAUCUGCCGAGGGAAGCACUUGACUAUGGCAGUCUAAGCCACACAAGGAAGUCAAGUUCAACAGAAACAGCAGAAAUUAAUCAUUCCCAGUACUUUGUGUUUUGUCAGAGAACUCUCCGUCGUCCAGUCCUCAACUAAAUAAAGACCCAUCCCAUUGCAGAGGUAAUCCCAGAUGGCAAAACCUUUUCAUCCCUGAAUCAGAAGUGAAUGAGGAUGAAGAGGAUGAGGACUCGGAUGGAGACAACUUGCAUAAGUAAUCCCAUUCAGUGGGAGAUGAAAGGAGGAAGCCAAAGGUUGACCAAAGUGAACACCAGAUAUUUAAGCCAUUAUUGUACCAUACCUAUGGUAAUUCAUAGAUUCAGGGUUUUGAUUAAGGGAUUAAUGUGUAACAUAUAUACUGUCCUUGAAUAGCCAAAUGAUUUGAUCUUUAUGUAUAAUAAAUCUACUGAGCAAUAUCCACAAUAGUGAAACCACAUAUUUUCCAACUUUUUCAGGGUGAUGAAGGGAAGAAUAAUAGACAAGCCGCUAAGGACCAAUCUAAGGAAACAAAAGAGACAAUGGCACACAUAAAAACUUGUCAAUCUGCUUUAAGAGAACAUGGUAGUUGUAAUUAUACCAAGACUACUCAGUCUCAAAGCUGGACUGGCAGCCAGACAUGUUCUACCUUAUUGAAGCUGGGAGCCCUACAAAACAGCUGUCCCAGCAAUUUAGACACAAACUUAUUUUCACCUCUAUAUAGGCAACAUGCCACCUCUUUUGUAGAAAUUGUCCGAAGUAAGAAGGGAAAUGGAAAAUCAUCUAAGAGCAUAGAGGAUCCAUCAGGCUCACACUUCAUCCAUAAUCUCGCCUCCAUCCAGAAACAGGAUGAUUCAGAGAUGGCAGCAGUCUCACUGAGUAUUGACAGUAGUCAGUACAAUCCAGAAGGUAAGAAACCUAGAAAACUCUUAAUAUUUUGAAUUCAGUUCUUUGUUGUAAUAACCACAAUGGUUUUCCACAACUUUUUCUUGUGUUUACAGGUGCAUGUGCUUCAUCCCCAGAAGUUGUGCGAAACACAAAAGCACAAAGGCCCACCUUUCUCCCCAUCCAGCUCUUUGUGCAUCAGGCACCCUCAGGAAAACAGAGCAAGACUCUUGGUACUCUUCUCAAUCAGUACAUAAGCCACAAGUACAGCAAGCCUGGUCCAUCCAAAGCUACUUGCAAAAGCAAGGUACAUCCACUCCAUAUACAACCCUCACCUCUUGGGAGUUCCUCUAACAUUCACCUGGAGGCAGCAACCAGUUCAGACAGUUGUUCCACCUGCACAUCAAGUCCUAUUUUGCCCCAUAACCACCCCCUUUUGUACGCAGCCCAGCACAAUGUUAGGACUCAUUCACCAGGACUUGAUGAACAGAAAUCCACAUAUCCAAAUAUGAGAUCAAGAAACCCUCAAAGCCCAGAGCAAACAGACGGUAGUCCAAAGGCCUGCCCAAGUCAAAAACAAUCUUGGUCUGGAAAACAAGCUUCUCAGAUUUGUCUUCCUGAGCAGGUUCCCCUUGUUCAGGAGACCACAGGUCCUCUGGAUGCAUCCCCUUUACAUCAAAGCUCCUCCCCUGCCAUUACCUCAGUCACCUCCUUGACUUCUAUCUCCUCCCUCAUCUCUCUACCCGGCACUGGACAGAAAUCCGUCUGGCCUUUUUAAACAGCAUCACAGGUCUGCACGAAUGAAGAACCCAAGACCAACGCUCACUCCAUCUUUGGGCCAAGGAGAUCACCUUGUGUUAUGAGGGAACGUCAACACAGUGACUCAUUCUCCAUGACUGACAGACCCCCUGAGGAGUUCUGCCUUUCCCCAGAAGCCCCUUCAGAUAUUCUUUCAAUUGAUCUUCUGCACAAGAGAAGUAUGUUGAAAGCUGUGAGUUUAGCAGUGGAUAUAAUAACAGCUCAUUUCAACUCAAGACAAGACCCAGGGGAAAAGGUAGUAUCAGGAGUCAAAGAAAUAAAAAAUAAAAAAUAAAAAAUAUGGAAAGUGGGGCAAAAUAUCUUGGAUACUUGAAUACAACAGAAAUGUCAAACAUUACCCAUGGGUUCUAAUUAUACUGCCAGGCAAAACUGUUUUGUAUAUAGUUUCAUGUACAGACAGAGAGUCCUUUACUUGUAGCAGACUGAGAGGUCUCAAUCUGAUCUCUUAAAAUGUUUUAUUUUGUUUUCAGAUCAGACUGGGAAACAGUUCACUGUGCACCACAAUCAGCCACCUUGUCCUUAAACAGCUCUACCCCACAAUCCAGAACAUUCUUCAAGAUGGUUUGAAAGCAUAUAAAUUUAAAUUAUAAAUUGGAUUUAUUAUUGAAAAGCGACGCAACAAACUAUGGAACAUCGUAGAGGCCACGGAACAACCAGGUCUGUGGGAGCCAGUCAGAUGAAAAUCAAAUGAAACACUUUCAUUCUCAAGUGCCCUCAAAAUCUGAUUGGACACUGUCUUUUUUAUGAUUGCCAAUGUUUCUUUCUUCAUAGGCUCAUCUACCCAACUGCCUGACAGCUUGGUAUCUGUGGUAAAAAAAAAAAAUCCCAGUUACCAAGUCACAUGCGGCUCAGUGCCUUCAUCAUAGAUCUGCUAAAGUAGGUCAAAUGCUGAAUACAUCUGUUAAAAAGUUAUGACACAGUACAGUUAGCUAAUGAACAUAUUGCUCUUUAGCUUGUGUGCUUUGGAAUUCUGGAUCCAUCAUUUAUACACUUGUGUAGGUGAGUAUGAUGUUUACUGACAACUGUAAAGGAAUGUACUGCUGGUUUUAUUGCAUUUUUGUGCACGAUGAAAUCUAUUUAAUAUAGCUAUUUUCUUUGAUAAAUAUGCAUGCUGAGUAGCUUUAUAUUUCUUAUGUACUACUUAACAGCAGGACUAAUUAAGUAGCGAUAUUUAUUUAUGACCACAUUUGCCCAAACGUGACCCCUGAUGUUAGUGAUGCAAAGAUGGACAAGAGCUCAUUAAGAGGACGGUAUGAUUAUGAGUGAGUUUUAAAAGCAGUGUUUUCUCUGUUUCCUGAUAUUAAAAUAGUGCCUGAUUGGACCUUUGUGAUAAUAAAGAUUUGUUGCGUCAUUAAUGUUUGUAUUGUGUGCUUUUUU